CCCAGCGGUAGUCAGCAGUUCAGACCUGUACCGUGCCUGAACUAGUGUUACACUGCUGGAAAAGAAAGGCGCAGCCAGUUUGACUCUACCCAGAUGCUGCUGUUUUAGUGGUGUCUGAUUCUGAGUCAUGGCUGUGCUGUGUCCCCUCUGAGAGUUGAAUGUUCCCAAAUACACUGGGGCAUUCCUAGUCUGGGGACAAACAUU
ensembl:snoRNA SNORA74 Small nucleolar RNA SNORA74